ensembl:lncRNA
GACAAACACCAUAUAGUCAUUAGUUAUUUUUAUGAUAUCUUGUCUGAGAAGGAAAACCUGCACAUGUCUGUAGAUCGGAGAAUAGUUUUAAGAGCUACUGUAUUGCCUCACACCACCCCACCCCAAACAGCUGCUUAUUAUUCCUCUCUCUGGGUACAAUUUAAGACUGAUACUGGAGUCCCUGUUUAAUUAUUCAAUUGAUAAUAGAAAUAAAUAUUUGAUUGUAACAUCUUCCAAAAAUCUAAUUUUAACCUGUAAUGUCACUACUUAUGUUGAUAACUUUGAAUAAAUUGCCAUGAUACAAAGUUAUUUUUCUUGUUUAUCAAUCUUUUAAAAUUUUAUUAAUAGCAUUGAAUUAUUGUUUAGUUGAGGUGGACAGUUUGUAUGCCCAGUUUUAAGUGUGAAGUAAAGCAAUUGUAAGAGAAAAAUGAAAAAAGCUUUUUUUUUUUUUUUUUUUUUCCUUUUCAGGGCCACACCUGCAGCAUAUGGAAGUUGCCAGGGUAAGGGUCAAAUUGGAGCUGUAGCAACUGGCCUACACCACAGCCACAGCAAUGCCAGAUCCAAGCUGCAGUUUGCAGCCAUGCUGGAGCCUUAACCCACUGAGCAAGGCCAGGGAUUAAAGAACUGAAUCCUCAAAGACACUAUGUCAGGUUUUUAACCUGCUGAGCCACAAUGGGAAAUCCAAAAAAACACCUUUCUACCCAUACAGUUGUGGCUACUAGAUAAUGCCUACAGUGUUAGUAAAAGUAGUGUGGGAAAAAAACAAGCUUUUUCAAAAUAGUUACCAAACAGACAACUUAUUUUGUAGCGGUUAGACUAAAGGGGCAAUUUCCAGAUCUCCAUUUUUGUUGCUUAUCUUAGGAAGUUAAUGCCUGUGUCUCUUGAUGUUUGGGGGCUUUUAUCUCUCCUUGUCUGCACGGUCAGAUUCUUAUAUUUGCAUAACUGUGUUUGACUGGGCUUUCUGCCUCCAUAUUCACAGAGGGGCUAGAACCCAAUGAGGCUGGCAUCAGAUUAUGGGAAUUUUCUACUAUCAGAAUAAAAAUUCCUGAUUACUGAAAACUCCUAAUGAACUUUAAGGAAUUAACAGUACAGCAUUUCUCCUGAACUACCAAGUCUUUUAGUCCUGUUUUACCGAUUUAUUUGUAUGUAGAGUUGCUAUCUACCAGCCUGUGUGUAUCAAUAUCAGGAGAAUUGAAAAACACAUUCAAUGAAAAGGUGAGUUGUAAGGCUGUGUGCACAGUAUGAUGCCAUUUAAAUAAAUUUUUUUUAAAUUGAAGUAUUAUGUUCAUUUUCCAUAAAUUCAUAUAUUUAGAACUAUUAGGAUUAUUCUAUGAUAUUACAUAUUAUAUAAUAUAUAUAGAUAUAGACACUCUAUAAUAUAUAUUUUAUUAGGCUAUAAUUAUUCUAUUAUAUCGAUAUAUUGUAUAUUCUAUAUAUAUUCUAUUACUAUUCUAAUUAUAAUUCUGUAUAUUAGAAUAUAAUUCGAUAUAAUAUUCAUAUAUUAGAAAAACAUAUAGACCAAACUCAAGGUUCGCUUCUAGUGAGGAUAAAGGAGAUCAAAAUCAUGACGCUGAGUCAAGGUGACCUUGAGCAUCCCUGUAAUAUUCUAAUUUUUAUGGCAAUGAAUUCAUCUAUGUGUUGUUCAAUAUGUUUUAAAGAAUCAACAGCAAAAAGACACAGAAACAUAUGUCUAAAUGCUAAAGUACGUAAACCCAGGUAAAGAGUACGGAUGUAUGUUCUUUUCCUCUCUAUUUUUGUUUUUUUAAUUAUUAUUUUAGGGCUGCACCCACGGCAUAGGAAAGUUCUCAGGCUAGGGGUGGAAUUUGUCUCAGCCAUAGCAAUACCAGAUCUGAGCCAUGUUUACAACCUACAUGCUGGAUGCUUAACCCACAAUUGAGGCCAGGGAUCGAACCCACAUCCCCAGGGAUACCAGUUGGGUUCGUUACUCCUGAGCCACAAUGAGAACUCCUUUUUUUUUUUUUUUUCAUUUUGUUGGAAUAUAGUUGACUUACAUUGGUGUGUUACUUUCAGGUGUACAGCAAAGUGUUCCUCUCUGUUCUUUUUAUCACUUUUUAAAAUUUCAAAGCAAGGAUGCACACACACACACCCCAUGUCUCACAAGAAAAAAGACAAAGAUCAAGAUGAGGUUGGGAAAUUUUCCAACUUGAGAAUCCCACUUCCUGAAAGUGGAGGCUGGAAACUUGCUUUCCUAGCCUCCCUUGCAGUAGCUUCUAAGUGUUUUUCCUGAGGUUGUGGAUGUCGUGCCCAGUGCUAUGGUCCGGCUGGAGAUUCUGCCAGCUACCUAAUAAAGAUGUUUCAGACAUUUGGCAUCAUUUAGAAAAAACUCAUAAAUAUCUUAUAGCCUAUUUUCAUUAACCUUAAUGAGGUAUAAUUUUCAUCAAAUAAAAUUCUUCCAUUUGUAGGGGACCAUGCUGAGCUUCAGCCAGUAUACACAGUCAUGUAAUCACCACACAACCUAGAUACAGGUCAUUUCCAGCAUCCCCAAAACUUCCCUUAGGCCUCUUUUAGUUAACCCUAUGCUCCAGGCCACCAGUGGUCUGUUUUCUGUCAUCCUAGAUUACUUUUGCUAAAGUAGACAUUUCAUUCUAAAAUAUCAUAUAAAUGGGAUCAGAUAGAAGGUACCCUUCACAUCUGAUUUCUUUCAUCUUCUUACUGUUUCCAAACAAUGUUUACUGAUGAAAACAAUUACAACUCAUCUCAAUUAUUUUCCCUCAUGGAAAAAAGCAUACGUGUGUAUUCAAAUGAACAACAAAAGCAGAAAUGACGAACAUUUGGAGUUAUUAUGUUGGAGUGUGCGACGUGUCACGUUCCAGAAAUUCACUGUUUUAAGUUAAUAGCGUAGUUGAGAAGAAUUCUUGCCAUCCUCUUCUAUCAUGUUCUCUUUUGAGGAGGUGUAAAAUAUGGAACUGCUUAUUAGAAAAUGCACCUCCAUUUUCUACAUAUUGAAAAAAAAAUGCAUCAUCUUGGGUUUCCUUCAGUGAUCUAAUGCAUUAGAUUCUCUGAGGACUGAAAACAUGAAUUUGCUUUUUUUACUUAUAUUCUUGGCGAUUCUUAUCACACUUGUGCUCUAAAUUUUUUGUAUUUGUGAUUUAUACCUUGAUAUUCUAAAAGAAUUCAAAACACUAGGUUAUUUAAAAAUUUAGAAAGAAUACUGUCUUCCACUCCUAGAGAAGAGAAAGAAGAUAUAAAAGAACAAGUAUCCAUUUGAUUUUGUGAAGGUUUUUAGAAGAAAAAAAAAAAUGAAAUGCUUAAGACCAUUCUGGCAAAGUGGGAUUUUGGGGGCAAAAAAGUAACAAUAAAAACCAGGCAUCAUAUUAUCUCUCUUCUUUGGCUCAAACCACUUAACUGGUUGGUAGCCAAAUCUAUUAUCACUUCAGAUUCUGCAGACUGAUUAUUUCUUUAUCCAGUGAUAAAAUUUCUAACACACUUCACCAUGACAGGAUCCCAUGAAAACAAACAAACAAAAAUCCAGUUUCCAAAUGGUAUUUUGCAACAAGAUCUAAUGAAACCAAUCACUGGAGAUGCAUUGGAGAGGAAGGUGAGAAUAUAUUCUUGGGUGGAGAUAUUAGGCUGUAAGCUAGAAAUAAUGUAUUAAAGCAUUCCACAUGGUUGAAGUUCCCAUUGUGGCCCAGCAGUAAUGAACCUGACUAAUAUCCAUGAGGACACAGGAUCAGUCCUGGCCUCACUCAGUGGAUUAAGGAUCUGGUGUUGCUGUGAGCUGUGGUGUAGGCCACAGACACAGCUAGGAUCUGGUGUUGCUGAGGCUGUGGUGUAGGCCAGCGGCCACAGCUCCAAUUCCACCCCUAGCAUGGAAAUUUCCAUGUGCCUCCGGUGCAGCCCUAAAAAGACAACAACAAAAAAAAAAAAA